UCUUCCUUUUGUAGUGGUAUACAGAAUUUGGAUUUAUCCAAGAAUCAAUUCCCGGGAUUCAUCCCGACUUCAUUUUCAAAUGGUUGUAGGCUUGAGUCACUCAACUUGAAUGGUAAUAAGUUGGAAGGAGCAUUACCCCAAUCCCUUUCAAAUUGUCGAAAUCUGCAGGUUCUUGAUAUUGGAAACAACAAAAUACAAGACACAUUUCCAGUUUGGACCGGAAAUCUCUCUGAUCUUCGCGUCCUCAUAUUGAGAUCCAACAACUAGAGUGGUACCAUUCCUUCUCUCACUUCCAAGACUAGGCUUCCUUUCCCCAACUUGCAGGUUUUUGAUGUAUCCCAUAAUGCAUUCAUUGGCAAUCUGCCCCAAGGAUAUCUGAGGAAUUUCAAAGGGAUGAUAGAUGUACAAGAAAAAUAUCGAAGAGAAUUGGGGCCUCUGAUUCCGAUUCCGUUUCCCAUUCCCAUUCUCAUUCCCAUUCCAAUUGCAGUUUAUUCAUAUUCAUAUACAUUAACAGUUAAAGGUUCAGAUCUAGAAUAUAAGAGAAUGUUGAUAACCUUGACAACAAUUGAUGUGUCAUCCAACAGAUUCUCAAGCAGUAUACCAAAUUCCAAAGGAAUUUUGAAUUCCUUGAUUAAUUUGAAUCUGUCUCACAAUUGCCUCACAGGAGGUAUACCUGCAUCUCCUGGAAACAUUACGGAACUCGAGUCGUUGGACUUGUCUUCAAAUCGAUUGGAAGGGGAAAUUCCAACAGAGCUUACAAAGCUCACAUUUCUUGCCAUGAUAAACCUUUCCAUGAAUAAUCUUUCAGGGAAGAUACCUCAAUCCAAUGGCCAGUUUUCCACAUUUGACAAUACCUCAUAUGUUGGGAAUUCUGGACUAUGUGGGCUUCCAUUAACACGAAAAUGUGAAGAGACUUUGCCUUCAGCGAUGUUGAAAGAAGAUAUGAUGAUGAUUAUGGUAUUCUAGAGGGAUUCUGUUGGCAGGCCGUUGUUUCUGGUUAUGGAUGUGGAUUCCUAAUUGGGGUUAUUAUUGGCUGUCUGAUUCUUGGGUAUGGAAGGACUACAUGGUUGUUGGAAUGGAUCUACAAAUUUUACAGGAUAAAGAUGAGAAGCCGUAGAAGAAAUGUGGCACCACAAAGAAGAAGAAGAUAACAAGGGAUGCUACAAGAAGAUGGUAAUGAUUGUGGUAUUCUAGAAGGAUUCUGCUGGCAAGCGGUUGUUUCCGGGUAUGGAUGUGGAUUUGUAAUCAGUACGACUGUGAGUUGUGUGAUUCUUGGGUAUGGAAGGCCUAAGUGGUUGUGGAAUGGAUCGACAGAUCUUACAAGAUAAAGACGAGAAGCCGUGCCGUAGAGGUUGUAUUGAGCUUCAAUAUAAUUAUGGGUGUUGUUGUUUUCUGAAUGUUAUGUUCAACUUUCUAUGUUGUGUUGAAUAUUCAUGAAUGAUGCUUUUCUUUUACAAUUUCGAUAUAGAAAAAAGAUACUACUCCCUCCAUCC